ACGGAAGGCAGCAGUGGGGAAUAUUGCACAAUGGGGGAAACCCUGAUGCAGCGACGCCGCGUGAGUGAAGAAGUAUUUCGGUAUGUAAAGCUCUAUCAGCAGGGAAGAAAGUGACGGUACCUGACUAAGAAGCCCCGGCUAACUACGUGCCAGCAGCCGCGGUAGUACGUAGGGGGCAAGCGUUAUCCGGAUUUACUGGGUGUAAAGGGAGCGCAGACGGUAAGAUAAGUCUGAUGUGAAAACCCGGGGCUCAACCCCGAGGAUUGCCUUUGGAACUGUGGAACUGGAGUGCUGGAGGGGCAGGCGGAAUUCCUGGUGUAGCGGUGAAAUGCGUAGAUAUCAGGAGGAACACCGGUGGCGAAGGCGGCCUGCUGGACAGUAACUGACGCUGAGGCUCGAAAGCGUGGGGAGCAAACAGGAUUAGAUACCCUGGUA
rnacentral:rRNA from 1 species